rnacentral:rRNA from 1 species
GGAGACUUCAACGAAAUCAUGUACCUCCAUGAGAAGAUAGGAGGACCAGAGAGACCACAAUCAGCCAUGGAGAAAUUCAGAUUCGCACUAGCUGACUGCAGCCUCCGAGACUUGGGCUACACAGGGGAUAAGUUUACCUGGCCAAAGAAAUAUAUCAAAGAAAGAUUAGACAGAGCAGUGGGUAACCAAAGAUGGUGUCAAAGCUUUCCCGCAUAUAAAAUAGUGAAUGGAGACCCGAGGCACUCAGAUCACCGUCCGGUC